CCUACGGGUGGCAGCAGUGAGGCAUAUUGGUCAAUGGGCGGAAGCCUGAACCAGCCAAGUAGCGUGUAGGCUGACGGCCCUACGGGUUGUAAACUGCUUUUAUACGGGAAUAACGCGCCUUCAGUGUAGUGCUUUGCAUGUACCGUAUGAAUCAGGACCGGCUAAUACCGUGCCAGCAGCCGCUGUAAUACCGAAGGUCCGGGCGUUAUCCGGAUUUAUUGGGUUUAAAGGGAGCGUAGGCCGCAUGUCAAGCGUGCUGUGAAAUGUCCGGGCUCAACCCGGGCCUUGCAGCGCGAACUGGCGUGCGUGAGUCCGCGGAAAGCAGGCGGAAUUCGUCGUGUAGCGGUGAAAUGCUUAGAUAUGACGAAGAACCCCGAUUGCGAAGGCAGCUUGCUGCAGCGGAAAUGACGCUGAUGCUCGAAAGCGCGGGUAUCGAACAGGAUUAGAUACCCCGGUAGUC
rnacentral:rRNA from 1 species